rnacentral:rRNA from 1 species
AUACGAAGGGGGCAAGCGUUGUUCGGAAUAACUGGGCGUAAAGCGCACGUAGGCGGAAUGUUAAGUUAGAGGUGAAAUCCCAGGGCUCAACCCUGGAACGGCCUUUAAUACUGGCAAUCUAGAGACCGAGAGAGGUGAGUGGAAUUCCGAGUGUAGAGGUGAAAUUCGUAGAUAUUCGGAGGAACACCAGUGGCGAAGGCGGCUCACUGGCUCGGUACUGACGCUGAGGUGCGAAAGCGUGGGGAGCAAACAGGAUUAGAAACCCCUGUAGUCC